GCUGGAGGGCGGCCGCGUGCGGCUGCGCCGUGAGACUCGGAGUGCUGCCCGGGGAGAGAAGGUCUGUUUCCUCCCGCUGCUAAACCCGGCUCCUAGGAACUCAGGGCUUCAGACAAGCUGUGGUCAUCAGUGUAGUGUCCAGAAAGUUCUGUGGCCCACAUGCCUGCAGAGGACGGCUGAGAAGAGACUGCAUGAACUCUCACUGACUCAGUAACUUUAGGUGUUUCCCAUGAACAAGGUGCUUGGCAGGCACUACUGGAGCAUAACGGGUGUGAACAGGCCCCAGCACCGCGCACUGGGUUUAUUUCCUCUGAGCCACUGUCGGGAGUCCUUAAGCCCUCUUCUAGAGAUAUCUUGGGCUAGCAUGUAGCUCCAUGCACAGCGCUAACAGGCUCCUGGGGUCCAUCGCCAGCACAGAGACACCUUUCCCUAAUCUGCCCCACACCUUUCCCUAAUUCCUAAGUACUCCCGUCUAAAGCCUCUGGGCCAGACGGUCACUGUGUGCUUCACCCAUUCAACAGGAAGCUCUGGCAUAGUUAGGGGGUGGGGUUACUCUGACCUGACCCCAGAAUGUGACUGAACUUCACAACCAUUCUAUAGCCUUCACCUUGCCAGGAAAUAUGCCUCCUCAGUGAGAGAGCGUGACAGUGGACCCACAAAGUACUCAGGUCAACAGGGAAGAUGCACUGCUGCAAAUAACAGCAUUGGACUUGGUUUUGAGAGAAGAGCUUGUGUAGCUCAGGUUGACUUUGAACUUGUUACGUAGCUGAGGAUAAUCUUGAACCUGCUUCUACUUCCCAAAUGCUGGGGAUAUAGGCACAAACCACUACAUCCAACUGAACUUCCUGCUGUUUAUUAUUAACUAUUAUGAGAUUACUCAAUUCAGAAAAAUAGAAGAUCCCACCCUGCAGUGGAGCACAGAAGACUCGUGCUGGGCACACAGGUACCUGAGGUCUCUAUAGCGUCGCCUGUCUCUCACCCAGGACCUGCAGCCUGAGCGGUGGUCAGGAGUCAGCCGGCAUCCAGCCUGGCACUACCUACUCCCUCCCUGCUGGUGGGGCCAAGAUGGCUGCUGCGCAGCCUAUGGUAUGGGCAGUAGUACUGCUCCCUAGGGUGGUCAGGCUCAGCCUGUAACCUUAACAUGGCAGUGAGGGCAGAAGUGUCCGGCAGACGAUAAGAAGAGUACUGGUCCCUGGAUGGAGGGUCAGCGAGACAAAAGUCUUAGCGCAGACUGCAGGGACUUCCUUAGGAAGGUGGUGUUGGGCUCUAGGACCAAGGCCAGGUGCAGCCUCUGGGGCUCUGUGAUCUGGGGAGAAGAAGGAACAGGGUCAGGACUCCCACUUCGUGUCUUCCCAUCUCCUCUUCACUCCAUGGCCUCUGUUUAUGAUGGAGAGAGUAUACAGGGUACACAGAGCAGGGGGAUGCUCCUGAGAAAGCAAACCUUACUUCACCACAGUUAAGCAAGCAAGCACAGAGUUAGAAGACUCUAGAACCAAAUACCAGGUGUGCAACCUACACCAGUUACACUGCUGCUAGCUGGUGAUCUCAGCGUGCUGGCCGCGGGGUGGCACUUCACAGGCAUGACUCUCCCGUCCUCCAGCACUCAGGUAGGAGACAGGCUCAGACGUCCCACUGUCCUGCCGCCUUCCUGUAGACCAUGCCUUUCUGACCUGUGGCUGCACUUCCUGAGGGGGUUUCAGACCCGUCAGUCUAGGAGCCCCACUGCCCACAGAAGACUGGCUUAUCUACAACGUACUUGUGAUCAGGUCACUCCCCAGCUAAAGGCCGAGAGAGACGCCCAAUUCCAGACUCCACAGUGGGGCUCUGAUGCUGAAGAAAAGGGUGAAAUGCCAAUAGCCAAUCACCCUGUGCCUUCAUGACAAAGCUAUAGCUUCCAGUCCAUAACCCAUGGGGCCUCAAACAUGUUGCUAGUUGUGGUAGUGUGGGUUUGGGCAAGUUACCCUAACCUCUGAUUCUCUAAUGGGAACUGCUGGACACUGAUGCAGGACAACAGUUCCAGCUCUGCAGGAAGCGAGCAGCCUUGCUGAACGGGAGCAGUGCACAAGACCCUGCCUCCAAGUGGAAGGCAAGAGCUGACACCUGAAAGUUACCUGACCUCUACACACACCACGGCAUGGGUGUCCCGGCACUCACAUGCAUGAAUGUGUACAUGUACACACCAAAACAAAGUGCAUCCCUGCCACCGUGAGCUCCCACAAUGAACGACUUGCAGAUCCUGACAUUCUCUGCUCCGCUGCAGCCGUUGCCAGCGAUGUCCAACUCCAGCUCUUGGCUACCAUCCCUGGUGGUUUCUUUUUUAGGGUGGGGGGCUCUCAUGUAGCCCAGACUAGCCUUUAACUCCCACUCCUUUUGUAUUUUUGGUUAUUAUUUGAGACAUUUUCACUAUGUAUCCUAGGCUGGCUUUGUACUUACUUACAGCAAUCCUCCUGCCUUAGCUAUCCACGAACUAGAAUUUCAAGUAUACAGUACCAUGGCUGGCACCAUUCAUCCUUUGAGAGGCAGAAGCCAGCCCCUUUCCCGACUUUAAACAAGGCUUGGCUGCCCCUUCCCCCAGGUUGGCUGGCUCCCACCAGAUAUCACACUGAACUGCUCCCUUGUCUUUCCCAUCUCCCCAACUUGGGGCUGCCUUAUGGUCACUCUUGAUUGCUCAGUGCCCCAUAUAAUGCCAAGGCCAAAGAGGUGCUGGCUGAAUGAACCCUUAAAACAACCCCAACCCUAGCUCCAGGCACGCACUCCUGGUCUCCCUGGCAAGCAUAGCUGCUUGCUUUCACCCACACUUACGCUGGCCUGGUAUUUGGUCAUCACUGUCAUCAUGAGCUUGGCAUAGGCCACAGAGGCUGAGGCUGCCAGCCCCUCCUCACAGAGCUUCUCCAUCAAGACACCAAACGUCGCAGGGCUCAUCUCCACCUGCACAAGGAGAUGCGCAGUGUCACAAGAAAGGCCAACCCUGGAUCUGACCUCAACCACCACUGCCUAGCAGGAAGCUCCACCAAGCGCUGCAGUUUGGAUCUAGAAUGUCUCCCGAGGAGCCAUGUGCUAAAGGUCUGGUCCCCAGCGUGGUAGUGGAGCCUUUAUCUGGACCUGGGGGAAGAAGUGAGGUGACUGGAGGUGUGCCCUCAAAAGGGAUAUUGGGACUGUGACCCCUCCCCCUUGUUUUUUCCAGGUAGGGUCUCAAUAAUUUACUUACUAGCCUGGCGUGGUGGCGCACACCUUUAAUCCCAGCACUUGGGAGGCAGAAGUUGGAGGACUGCUGUGAGUUCAAGGCUACCCUGAGACUACAAAGUGAUUUCCAGGCCAGCUCCAGGACCUGCCUGCACAGAGGACACCAGUGAGAAAGGCCCAGGCUUCCACCCACGCCAGGUCUCCUGCCACUCCCUGUGGGGCCAGGCCUGCACGGCCAGCUCCCUGCCAACAGAGACUCAGACUGAACAGUGGCCCGGGAGAGCGGUUCCCAGCGGGGCACCUCUCCAUCCCCGGGAGCCCGCCAGGAAGGAUCUGGCGUGCAACACACACGCCAGAAGAAGCAAGGGCUGCAAGUACUCCGAGAAGCACAGUGGAAGGGACAUGGAGAACGGGGAGCCGCAGGUGCAGUGGGGGACCCCUAGGCAGGUGAUGGCCCCGCAGAGCCUGACUCAGACAGGUGUCCUCCCAGUUGCACUCCCUGCUCCCCUGCAGACUUCCCUUGUCCUAAAAGGCCCGUGUCACAGUGGAAACGGGCUUGCUGAAUGGGGAGAUGUUGGGAGCUAUGAACCAAACCUUGGCCAUGUUAACAGAAACUGCCAUACAGCAAGUGAAGUUUCUACUUCCUCACCUAAUACUCAACUACCAGAAACAAUGGGAUCAUACACCAGGC